GACGAACGCUGGCGGCGUGCUUAACACAUGCAAGUCGAACGAAGAGCGAUGGAAGCUUGCUUCUAUCAAUCUUAGUGGCGAACGGGUGAGUAACGCGUAAUCAACCUGCCCUUCAGAGGGGGACAACAGUUGGAAACGACUGCUAAUACCGCAUACGAUCUAAUCUCGGCAUCGAGGAUAGAUGAAAGGUGGCCUCUACAUGUAAGCUAUCACUGAAGGAGGGGAUUGCGUCUGAUUAGCUAGUUGGAGGGGUAACGGCCCACCAAGGCGACGAUCAGUAGCCGGUCUGAGAGGAUGAACGGCCACAUUGGGACUGAGACACGGCCCAGACUCCUACGGGAGGCAGCAGUGGGGAAUCUUCCGCAAUGGACGAAAGUCUGACGGAGCAACGCCGCGUGAGUGAUGACGGCCUUCGGGUUGUAAAGCUCUGUUAAUCGGGACGAAAGGCCUUC
rnacentral:rRNA from 1 species